UUAGAGUUUGAUCAUGGCUCAGGAUGAACGCUAGCGGCAGGCCUAAUACAUGCAAGUCGAGGGGGAACAUGAGUACUUCGGACAGGCGACGACCGGCGCACGGGUGAGUAUCACGUUUGUAACCUACCUUUUACUGGAGAAUAGCCCGAAGAAAUUCGGAUUAAUACUCCAGAAUACUAUGAACUGGCAUCUUUUUAUAGUUAAAGCUCCGGCGGUUAAAGAUGGGCAUGCGUAACAUUAGAUUGUUGGUGAGGUAACGGCUCACCAAGUCUACGAUGUUUAGGGGGUCUGAGAGGAUGGUCCCCCACACUGGUACUGAGACACGGACCAGACUCCUACGGGAGGCAGCAGUGAGGAAUAUUGGUCAAUGGGCGCAAGCCUGAACCAGCCAUGCCGCGUGUAGGAUGAAUGCCCUAUGGGUUGUAAACUACUUUUAUAAAGGAAGAAACCCUCUUACGUGUAAGAGGCUGACUGUACUUUACGAAUAAGCACCGGCUAACUCCGUGCCAGCAGCCGCGGUAAUACGGAGGGUGCAAGCGUUAUCCGGAUUUAUUGGGUUUAAAGGGUGCGUAGGCGGGCCUUUAAGUCAGUGGUGAAAUCCUGCAGCUUAACUGUAGAACUGCCAUUGAAACUGAAGAACUUGAAUAUGGUUGAGGUAGGCGGAAUACGUUAUGUAGCGGUGAAAAUGCUUAGAUAUUACACAGAACACCGAUUGCGUAGGCAGCUUACUAAGCUAUAACUGACGCUGAUGCACGAAAGCGUGGGGAGAGAACAGGAUUAGAUACCCUGGUAGUCCACGCCGUAAACGAUCAUCACUCGUUGUUGGCAAUACACCGUCAGCGACUGAGCGAAAGCAUUAAGUGUUCCACCUGGGGAGUACGAUCGCAAGAUUGAAACUCAAAGGAAUUGACGGGGGCCCGCACAAGCGGAGGAACAUGUGGUUUAAUUCGAUGAUACGCGAGGAACCUUACCUGGGCUUAAAUGUAGUUUGAUUUUAUUGGAAACGGAUCUUUCUUCGGACGCUUUGCAAGGUGCUGCAUGGCUGUCGUCAGCUCGUGCCGUGAGGUGUCGGGUUAAGUCCCAUAACGAGCGCAACCCUCAUCAUUAGUUGCCAGCGGGUAAUGCCGGGGACUCUAAUGAAACUGCCGGUGUAAACCGAGAGGAAGGUGGGGAUGACGUCAAGUCAGCACGGCCCUUAUGUCCAGGGCUACACACGUGUUACAAUGGUUGAUACAAAGGGCAGCUACCUGGUGACAGGAUGCUAAUCUCGAAAACCGAUCUCAGUUCGGAUCGAAGUCUGCAACUCGACUUCGUGAAGCUGGAUUCGCUAGUAAUCGCGCAUCAGCCACGGCGCGGUGAAUACGUUCCCGGGCCUUGUACACACCGCCCGUCAAGCCAUGGGAGUUAGGGGUGCCUGAAGUUCGUAACCGCAAGGAGCGACCUAGGGUAAAACUAGUGACUGGGGCUAAGUCGAAACAAGGUAGCCAAGGGCGAA
rnacentral:rRNA from 1 species